AUCAAAGCACAUUUCAAAGCACCGACCUGUCCUACUAGAAUAUGGGCCACUCUGCCUGAAUGUAUCUAUAACCAAUGAGCCGUAGUUUUCUAAUUAUUACUUUACAAUGCAGUUUUUGACAUAUUGAUAACGUCAAGCAUUCCACACUAUGAACAUUGUAGACCACAGCUAUCCUGAGAGAUGCACUUGAAGGAUGAACAAUAGACUCAAUACUCCACAGAAGAAUAAAAAUUAAGUCCGCAUAUGGCACCAAACACA
rnacentral:misc_RNA from 1 species